ensembl:lncRNA
UUCUCCAGCUGCCCAGACCCACUGAAUCAGACCCUGGGGUGGAGAACUCAGCAGACUAAGUUUAACAAGCCCUUCGGGUGAUUGAGAUCCACUGAUUUCAAAACGUGGCUGUACUCUGGGCUCCUCUGAGGAGUUUAAAACUAUUCCCUUGGGGUCUCCCCUCAGAUAUUACUAUGUGGUCACUCUGGAGAGGGCCCUGGGCAGCAGGAGUCUAAACAGCUCAGCAGGGGCCCUCCUCUGGCGGACAGGUGGUUAAGACUCCACCUCCCAAUGCAAGGGCCUGGGUUUGUUCCCUGCUUGGGGAUCUAAGAUCUCAAAGCUGCAUGGUGCAGGGCCAAAAGAGGAAAACUCAGCUGAUAACCCUGAUUUGCAGGGACAUUGGAGAUGCCUUGCUUUAGAGCUCGCUUUACUCCUUACCCAUUAAAACAAGUCUGCCUGGAAAGAGGUGCCAGCUCAAUAGCCUAGACCCACUUCUAAGGACACUGAUUGAAGGUACCCUUCCUGGAGAGACCUCGCUCAUACGUCAGCCCAGACGCCAGGCAUCCAGGGUCCCCUGUGCUGUCUGAACCCCAGUCUUCUCCUGAGCACCCAGGGGCUCCACAUUGUGCCCUGAACCCAAUAUCAACUGGCUUCACCUGAUACAGCAACUAGGCAAAGAUCGGUGGAAGAUAAUGAAGUUAAACAUGAUUCUUCUAUUUGACGCUGAUUAGUUUCAGAUUCGAGGGUAAUGCUUUUUUUUUUUUUUUUUAAUGAAUGGACAUCUUGACAUCUAAAUCUGCGUGUUGUAAAGACAAGCAUCACUUAAGAUACAAAGCAUAUGUGCUUUUCUGUUCUGUCAAGCAGUCUUGGUUGGACCUUCCCUGGGCUGCCAUAGUUGCUUUAUUUCAGCACAUCUGAGGCUGUCUUCCGGGUUACUCUGGCAUGUGGGCUGGGGCGACAGUGAGAUCCAAGUAUGUUUCCGCACAUAGUCAAGCUCUGUGUGUGUAUUAGUCGCUCAGUGGUGUCUGACUCUUUGCAACCCCAUGGACUGCAGCCUGCCAGACCCCUCGGUCCGUGGAGUUCUCCAGGCAAGAAUACUGGAGUGUGUUGCCAUUCCCUUCUCCAGGAGAUCUUCCUGACCCAAACCCUGCUGCUGCUGCUGCUGCUGCUAAGUCACUUCAGUCGUGUCCGACUCUGUGCGACCCCAUAGACAGCAGCCCACCAGACUCCGCUGUCCCUGGUAUUCUCCAGGCAAGAACAGUGGAGUGGGUUGCCAUUUCCUUCUCCAAUGCAUGAAAGUGAAAAGAGAAAGUGAAGUCACUCAGUCGUGUCCGACUCUUCUCGACCCCAUGGACUGCAGCCCAUCAGGCUCCUCCGUCCAUGGGAUUCUCCAGGCAACAGUACUGGAGUGGGGUGCCAUUUCCUUCUCCAGACCCAAGCCCUAAGAAUACGUUAAUAGCUUACUUAGGACCUAUAUUCUAAACGCAUUCUCUAAAAAACAGAGGGGUGACCUUUGGUGGGAAUGUAAAUUGGUGCAGCCACUAUAGAAAACAGUCUAGAGAUUCUUUUAAAAACAUAUGAUCCUGCAAGCCCAUUCCUGGGCAUAUAUCUGGAAAAGGCGAAACCUCUAAGUCGAAAAUUUACAUGCCCCUCAGGGUUCACAGCAGCACCAUUUGCAACAGCCGGGACAUGGAA